rnacentral:lncRNA from 1 species
AAGAAAAAAAAAAGAAAACAGAAAAAAUGAAAAUUAGAAAAAAGGAUGGGGCAGUUGAUUAAGAUGCAGAGAGACAUUUUUAUGAAAUUUCAAAAUGCAAAAAAUAUCCUCUCAUCACACGACAUGUGUCAAAGGGAGUUUAAAAAGUAAAACAAAAUAUCUCUUUACCAACCCUCUCAGCGUGUAUUAAAGAAGAAAAAAAUACAAUUUCCUUUUUCUCCAAACGAUUCUUUCUCGAGGUGCAUAAAAACAAAACCCCAUUUUUUAAAAAAAAACUAAAAACUCCUACCCUCUAUUCUUUCUCUUGUUCA